rnacentral:rRNA from 1 species
AUUGAACGCUGGCGGCAUGCCUUACACAUGCAAGUCGAACGGUAACGGGCCUUCGGGUGCCGACGAGUGGCGAACGGGUGAGUAAUACAUCGGAACGUGCCCGAUCGUGGGGGUUAACGAGGCGAAAGCUUUGCUAAUACCGCAUACGAUCUACGGAUGAAAGCAGGGGACCGCAAGGCCUUGCGCGGACGGAGCGGCCGAUGGCAGAUUAGGUAGGUGGUGGGAUAAAAGCUUACCAAGCCGACGAUCUGUAGCUGGUCUGAGAGGAUGAUCAGCCACACUGGGACUGAGACACGGCCCAGACUCCUACGGGAGGCAGCAGUGGGGAAUUUUGGACAAUGGGCGCAAGCCUGAUCCAGCCAUGCCGCGUGCAGGAUGAAGGCCUUCGGGUUGUAAACUGCUUUUGUACGGAACGAAAAGCCUUCUUUUAAUACAGGAGGGUCAUGACGGUACCGGAAGAAUAAGCACCGGCUAACUACGUG